rnacentral:rRNA from 1 species
AGCGAACGCUAGCGGCAGGCUUAACACAUGCAAGUCGAACGAAGCUCUUCGGAGCUUAGUGGCGAACGGGUGAGUAACACGUAGGUAAUGUACCCUUUGGUGGAGGAUAACUCAGGGAAACCUGAGCUAAUACUGCAUAUGUCCUUCGGGAUAAAAGUCUUCGGACGCCUUAGGAGCAGCCUGCGGCCCAUUAUCUAAUCCUAGUUGGUAGGGUAACGGCCUACCAAGGGUACGAUGGGUAGCUGGUCUGAGAGGAUGAUCAGCCACACGUGGGACUGAGACACGGCCCAGACUCCGUACGGGAGGCAGCAGGUGGGGAAUAUUGCGCAAUGGGGGAAACCCUGACGCAGCCAUGCCGCGUGUGUGAUGAAGGCCCUCGGGUCGUAAAGCACUGUCGGGAGGGACGAAGAUCUGACGGUACCUCGCAAGAAAGCACCGGCUAACUCCGUG